rnacentral:tRNA from 1 species
UCCGGCGUGGUCUAGUGGCUAGGAUACCUGGCUUUCACCCAGGCGGCCCGGGUUCGAUUCCCGGCGUCGGAA